ensembl:snRNA U6 U6 spliceosomal RNA
GUGCUCUCUUCAGUAGCACAUAUACUAAAAUUGGAACGAUACAGAGAUUAGCAUGGCCCCUGCACAUGGAUGACAUGCAAAUUCAUGAAACUUAGGGAGAGGUA